AAUCAACGCUGGCGGCGUGCCUCAGACAUGCAAGUCGAACGCGAAAGUCCCUUCGGGGAUGAUUAGAGUGGCGCACGGGUGAGUAACACGUAGGUAAUCUACCUUCGGAGUGGGGAACGUAACUACAGGGGAAACUUAGAGCUAAUACCGCAUAAUGCAGCGGGCACCACAUGGUGACAGUUGUUAAAGCAUUUAUGCGCUUGAAGAGGGGCCG
rnacentral:rRNA from 1 species